AAGCUGAUGAUGACACAACUGAUUGGAAUUACCGUCUGAAUAAUUAUUCUUUGAUGUAAAUUUCUUGGCUGUGGUACUGAGGCUUCGA
rfam:Cicer arietinum chromosome Ca5, whole genome shotgun sequence.